AUAUUGGACAAUGGGGGCAACCCUGAUCCAGCCAUGCCUCGUGUGUGAAGAAGGUCUUNGGAUUGNANAGCACUUUAAGUUGGGANACAGGGCAUUAGGUUAAUACCCUGAAGUUUUGACGUUACCAACAGAAUAAGCACCGGCUAACUCUGUGCCAGCAGCCGCGGUAAUACGAAGGGUGCAAGCGUUAAUCGGAAUUACUGGGCGUAAAUCGCGCGUAGGUGUUUUGUUUAGUUGGAAGUGAAAGCACUGGGCUCAACCUGGGAACUGCUUUCAUAACUGCCGAGCUAGAGUACGGUAGUGUGUAGUGGAAUUUCCUGUGUAGCGGUGAAAUGCGUAGAUAUAGGAAGGAACACCAGUGGCGAAGGCGACUACCUGGACUGAUACUGACACUGAGGUGCGAAAGCGUGGGGAGCAAAC
rnacentral:rRNA from 1 species